rnacentral:rRNA from 1 species
UGAGGAAUAUUGGGCAAUGCCCGCAAGGGUGACCCCGCAACGCCGCGUGGAGGAUGAAUGUCGUAAGAUUGUAAACUCCUGUUAGAGGGGAAGAAUAGUACCGGUUGGACCGGUAUAUGACUGUACCCUCAGCGAAAGCCCCGGCUAACUACGUGCCAGCAGCCGCGGUAAUACGUAGGGGGCAAGCGUUGUCCGGAUUUACUGGGUGUAAAGGGCGCGCAGGCGGAUUUGUAAGUCAGAGGUGAAAUCUUACAGCUUAACUGUGAAACUGCCUUUGAUACUGCAAGCCUAGAGUAUGGAAGAGAGUGAUGGAAUAUCUGGUGUAGCAGUGAAAUGCGUAGAUAUCAGAUAGAACACCAAUGGCGAAGGCAGUCACUUGGUCCAUUACUGACGCUAAAGCACGAAAGCGUGGGUAGCAAACA